UUUUUUUGAGUAUUAUAUAAGGUCUGGCCUGCCCAAUGAGGAAUUGAAUGGCUGCGGUAUUUUAACCGUGCUAAGGUAGCAUAAUCAUUUGUCUUUUAAUUGAGGGCUUGUAUGAAAGGUUGGAUGAAACAAUAACUUUCUUUAAUUUAAUUUAUGAAUUUAAUUUUUUAGUCAAAAAGCUGAAAUAUUUUUAUUGGACGAGAAGACCCUAUAGAUCUUUACAGGUUAUUAAAUUUGAUAAUUUAGGAGAAUUACUUAUUUUUAUUUAAAAUCUUGUUUGAUUGGGGUGAUUGUAGAAUUUUAUGAACUUCUAUUGUUUGAUUUUCAAGAAUUAUUGUUUAAUUGAUCCAUAAUAUGAUGAUUAAAAGAUUAAG
rnacentral:rRNA from 1 species